rnacentral:tRNA from 1 species
CGAAGUUUAGCUCAGUCUGGUAGAGCGUUCGCUUGAUAAGCGGAGGGUCAGAGGUUCGAAUCCUUUAACUUCGA